rnacentral:rRNA from 1 species
UACGUAGGCAGCGAGCGUUGUUCGGAGUUACUGGGCGUAAAGGGUGUGUAGGCGGUUGUUUAAGUUUGGGGUGAAAUCUCCCGGCUCAACCGGGAGGGUGCGCCGAAUACUGAAUGACUAGAGUGCGGGAGAGGAAAGUGGAAUUCCUGGUGUAGCGGUGAAAUGCGUAGAUAUCAGGAGGAACACCGGUGGUGUAGACGGCUUUCUGGACCGUAACUGACGCUGAGACACGAAAGCGUGGGUAGCAAACAGG